rnacentral:rRNA from 1 species
UUUAAUGAGAACUCCGGAUUGGCCUCCUUUGCGCCGCCUCGUGUGGUGCAUUGCGUGGCCGAGAAGUUGUUCAAAUUUGAUCAUUUAGAGGAAGUAAAAGUCGUAACAAGGUUUCCGUAGGUGAACCUGCGGAAGGAUCAUUACUGUACCUUAUGUGUGAAUACACUGUGAACUUACUGAAAUUGGAGCGUGUGUGUGUGUGUGCUUGCGCCGCCACACACACGAGCCGAGGUUUACCCUUUUAAACGUACCUAUUGUAGCCAUAAAAACGUGCGAAAGUAUUAAAAAGAGAAAACUGCUGACGGCGGAUCUCUUGGUUCGUGUAUCGAUGAAGAACGUAGCCAGUUGCGAAAAGUAAUGUGAAUUGCAGAAUGAAGUGAAUCAUCGAAUCUUUGAACGCAAAUUGCACUCUUUGGAAUUCCAUUGAGUAUGUCUGUCUGAGUGUCUUGACAAACCUUACACUUUCGGUGUGAACUCGGGCUCCUGGUCUGUCUCCGGACUGACUCGCGCCUGCAAGACCCUACUCGGCAACGCUUGAGACAACAACGUUUGAUCUUAGACAAGCUCCGUCCGUCCGAGUCCAACCACUCAAUCAUGGACCUCAGAUCAGGCAAGACUACCCGCUGAAUUUAAGCAUAUUAAUAAGCGGAGGAAAAGAAACUAACUA